UCCUGAAGAACAAAGUUAGGAUCGCUGCUGCAUCAGUCAUGUUCCUGCAAAAGCAGCGUUCUGCUGGCCGCUCGACAAAAACCCCACACUUUUGUCCAGGAUCGGCUACUACCUUACAUGUGAUGCCAAACUAUCCGUACAGGGAAAGACAGUAUCCAGAACUAUUAGGGGAAAAUAACUGAAUAGAGCAACAGAGAGAGCGAGAGAGCGAGAGAGCGAGAGAGCACACGAGCACAAGCAGCGGGAGCAGCAGGCAGAGGGAGAGCGAGUGACAUCUAGUGGCUAAGCUGCUUUAAAGGUAAUUACUGAAUGUCAAGAAGACAACAGGACCAACUUAAAGAGGCUCACACUGGCCAAGGAAUAUCAGCAGCAACUAACUGAAACAUGUAAAAUCUCUUUAAAAAAUUCCUCUAAGUAAGGGCUCAGAGGAAUAAUGAUAAAGUAAUUAAUAAAAUUAAUAACAAACUUUCACACAAUAUCCUGGGGAGACAGUAUAAAAUAACAUUAGAAGGAAUUCUAUUUUAUUUGGACAGAAAUCCAGACAUACGUAUAUACCCAUAAGGCACCAUCAGCUUGUCCAUCAUGAAGUUUCACCAUAUGAGUUUUAGCAAACACAUAGCUUCGCAUAUUUAUCUCAUCCACUAUUUGAAAAUUAUGUGACUCUCAAUUAGCAUUCAUUUAUAAAAAGGUUAUAAAAAAAUCUGAAUUUAAACAUACACAGAAAUUUUAAUUUAUCAUCCGUAAACCUGAAUCUGGGAAAAUCCAAAUGAAAAAGGAACUCCGUAAUAAAAAGCCAAAUCAAGCCAACCAACCAACCAACCAACCAAACAAACAAACAAACUACCCACAUAAAAGCAAGAACUAAAUUAACAGGAUGCGGUCCUUUGCUCCAAAACUGCAUUUUGUAUCAAUCUAAUAAAUGAAACCCUAGACUAAUUGUGGAGAACUAAAUUGUACUCCGAUCUAUUAUUAACUUAUCAUGGGACGUUGGUCUCAGUUUCCUUAUUUGUAAAAUGAAGACUAGAGAACGAAAGGAUCCUAGGAACAGUAAUGUUCUUUUUGAAUAACGGGGUGAUAAUGUCCGAGGGGCUCGCUUCAGUUGUCCCGUACAGUUAGAUCUGGGAAUAAAUUAUC